CAGAGGUGACCUGUCUCCACCCUCCCCUAACAGGAAAAACAAAACGAAAGAGUUCAUUCAUACUCUGAUUUUCCAACACUGGAGAAACUGCGUUUUAUUUCAUAGUUCUAAGGCAGUCUUACCAUUUGUCAAUAAAGGCUGAACAAAUGCCAUGGAUUUAGCAGUAGCAUCCAAGAACCAGGCCUUUAACCCCAACAAAGUGUGUGUGUGUGUUGCACAUUGCAAGAACUGCAAGGCUGGAACUGGUUUAUUGGAACACCUUAGUGUCUGUGAGCUUCUGCUCUCUCAUUCUUUACACCAACAGGCAUGACAAAAAAAAGCAGCACAUCAGAGUGUCUGCCUCUUUUAAACAAACUUGACUUUGCCAGGCUGGCAAUUUUAUAGCUGUCUCCCAUUUCUGUUCCUGUCCUGCCCCCAGGAUUUGGGAUUUAGCUGAGACAUUUCUACCUCAACAGGUGACAUGUCCCAUGUCCUGCAGGCUCCUGCAUAACCCUUCCAGGGCUGGUAUAAAAGGCAGAAAUUACAGCUCUGGUUUUGUAAGAUCUUGAGUGGCUCUAAAGCAAAUAAGAAUACUAUCAUCUACCUAGGAAUUUAAAAAAAAAUCCCAAAGAAAAAGUAAGCAAGACGGAGCUGUGUUCAUAUUGAAUUUGGGGGUCCAGCUAUUCCCCCCACCCCAUCUUCUUCCCAGCCCUUCAGGAAUACUGCCCUACUUCAUUAAUUUUACAUAGAAGAAACUGCCUUGUAAACAGAGGCUUCUGUAGUACACGUCUGGCCUUUAACAUAUCUGGAAACCAGAGUCAAAUUUCUGUCUGGCUUUUUGUCUCAUCCCUCUUGGCAAAAGAAGUUUUUGAAACCAUAGACAAUGCUGAGUAACGAGAGUAUUAAUGUGCUUAACCCCCAUGACUGAAAUGCCAUGAUCAAGUCUGUCAAUAAAAAGCAGCUGCCUGAACCAAGCAAUUCCUUGUAUGUUUUGGAAAGAGAUCUGCUUAUUAAGAGAAUCAUCAUAAGC
rnacentral:lncRNA from 1 species